UUAGAUACCCUAUUAUUUUAAACGUAAAAAAAAAAACUAAGUGACUAAUAGUUAAGUUCUUUAAAGCUAAAUAAUUUGGCGGUGUUUUAAUCUAUUCAGAGGAACCUGUUCUAUAAUUGAUACUCCCCAAUAGAAUUAACUUUAAUUAGAAAUUUUUAUAUCGUCGUUAUUAAAUAUUUUAAUAGAAUUAAUAUUUAAAAUUUCUUUAUAAAGAAGAAAAUCAGAUCAAGGUAAAGUUUAUAUUAAAGAAGAAAUGGGUUACAAUUUACUAUAUUAUUGGAUUUAAAAUUUUAAAAAUUUUUUGAAAUUGGAUUUGAACGUAAUUAAAUAAUU
rnacentral:rRNA from 1 species